CCUACGGGGGGCAGCAGUGAGGAAUAUUGGUCAAUGGACGGAAGUCUGAACCAGCCAUGCCGCGUGCAGGAAGACGGCUCUAUGAGUUGUAAACUGCUUUUGUACAAGGGUAAACCUGAAUACGUGUAUUCAUCUGAACGUACUGUACGAAUACGGAUCGGCUAACUCCGUGCCAGCAGCCGCGGUAAUACGGAGGAUCCAAGCGUUGUCCGGAUUUGUUUGGUUUAAAGGGUGCGUAGGCGGAUUGAUAAGUUAGAGGUGAAAUGUCCGAGCUUAACUCGGGAACUGCCUCGAAUACUGGUGAUCUAGAGAGUAGAUGCGGUAGGCGGAAUGUAUGGUGUAGCGGUGAAAUGCUUAGAGAUCAUACAGAACACCGAUUGCGAAGGCAGCUUACCAAUCUAUAUCUGACGUUGAGGCACGAAAGCGUGGGGAGCAAACAGGAUUAGAUACCCGGGUAGUC
rnacentral:rRNA from 1 species